GCGGCGAGCGCGCGCGGACUGCGCACAGGCGGCGGAGCCGGUAUGGGCCCGCCUGGCCUUGGGCGCCCCGCCGCACAAGCACCAACCUAGAGCCAGGACUGAAGCUUCAAGAUGGCUGACCAGGACCCUGCGGGCAUCAGCCCUCUCCAGCAAAUGGUAGCCUCAGGCGCCGGGGCUGUGGUCACCUCCCUCUUCAUGACACCCCUGGACGUGGUGAAGGUUCGCUUGCAGUCUCAGCGGCCCUCCAUGGCCAGCGAGCUGAUGCCUUCCUCCAGACUGUGGAGCCUCUCCUAUGCCAAAUGUGAGUGCCCCAAGCCACAGGGAGCAUGGGAGGGUGCAAGGGGGAGAGAGUCCUUGUCCCUGUCCCCAGGGCACCAGUGGGCUCCACAGCCAUGGACUAGCAUAUACUCCCAGGUCCCGCCAGCCAGUCCUGUGACCUGCACCAGAACAUCCACACACGGACCUGGCCUUUACUGGCCUUCCAGGGAUGGGGCCCACUGCCUCCCUGCAAGGUUCUAGGGUCCUGUCAUUAUAAUGCCUCUUGCUUUUCCCCAGUGCCCUCCUCUCUCCAAUCCACAGGGAAGUGCCUCCUGUACUGCAAUGGUGUCCUGGAGCCUCUGUACCUGUGCCCAAAU
rnacentral:sRNA from 1 species